ACAAAGUGAGCUGGAGAAGACUGGUGUGCAAAAAUGCUGGAUGUCCAAGAUGGAUUUUUACACUAACAAUAGCAGCUAAUGGGAAGCUAUACACUAAGGACAAGUUGAGUAAAUGGAAAAUGCAAGUUGACCAGAUAUGUGUCCUGUGUAAAAAAGAGAAUGAAACAGUACGACCUUUAUUCUUUGAAUGCUCCUUUGCAGCUAAAUUGUGGGGCAAUUUGUUACAACGGCAAGGAAUACAUAGAAUAGUAUAUGGAAGGAAUGAGGAGUUAGAAUGGGCUGAGGACUGGGUGAAGAAACAUAAUGCAAACACUGAGCUAUAUAAGAUGACUCUGGCAGCAUGUCUAGACCAUGUAUGGCAGGAAAGAAACGCCAGGAUAUUCAGAGAAAAGGAGAGGAAUUGGAAG
rnacentral:lncRNA from 1 species